GCCGGGCGUGGUGGUGCGCGCCUGUAAUCCCAGCUACCCGGGAGGCUGAGGCAGGAGAAUCGCUUGAACACGGGAGGCGGAGUGCAGUGAGAUGCCACUGCACUCCACCCUGGUGACAGAGCGAGACUCUGUCUCAG
rnacentral:SRP_RNA from 1 species